CCUACGGGAGGCAGCAGUGGGGGAUAUUGCACAAUGGGGGAAACCCUGAUGCAGCGACGCCGCGUGAGUGAAGAAGUAUUUCGGGAUGUAAAGCUCUAUCAGCAGGGAAGAAAAUGACAGUCGCUGACCACGAAGCCCCGGCUAACUACGUGCCAGCCGCCGCGGUAAUACGGAGGGGGCACGCGUUAUCCGGAUUUACUGGGUGUAAAGGGAGCGUAGACGGUUAUGUAAGUCUGGAGUGAAGGCCCGGGGCACAACCCCGGGACUGCUUUGGAAACUGUGGAACUGGAGUACAGGAGGGGCAGGAGGAAUUCGUGGUGUAGCGGUGAAAUGCGUAGAUAUCAGGAGGAACACCGGCGGCGAAGGCGGCCGGCUGGACUGAAACUGACGUUGAGGCUCGAAAGCGUGGGGAGCAAACAGGAUUAGAUACCCCUGUAGUC
rnacentral:rRNA from 1 species